rnacentral:rRNA from 1 species
GUGCCUAAUACAUGCAAGUCGAGCGGACAGAUGGGAGCUUGCUCCCUGAUGUUAGCGGCGGACGGGUGAGUAACACGUGGGUAACCUGCCUGUAAGACUGGGAUAACUCCGGGAAACCGGGGCUAAUACCGGAUGGUUGUUUGAACCGCAUGGUUCAAACAUAAAAGGUGGCUUCGGCUACCACUUACAGAUGGACCCGCGGCGCAUUAGCUAGUUGGUGAGGUAACGGCUCACCAAGGCGACGAUGCGUAGCCGACCUGAGAGGGUGAUCGGCCACACUGGGACUGAGACACGGCCCAGACUCCUACGGGAGGCAGCAGUAGGGAAUCUUCCGCAAUGGACGAAAGUCUGACGGAGCAACGCCGCGUGAGUGAUGAAGGUUUUCGGAUCGUAAAGCUCUGUUGUUAGGGAAGAACAAGUACCGUUCGAAUAGGGCGGUACCUUGACGGUACCUAACCAGAAAGCCACGGCUAACUACGUGCCAGCAGCCGCGGUAAUACGUAGGUGGCAAGCGUUGUCCGGAAUUAUUGGGCGUAAAGGGCUCGCAGGCGGUUUCUUAAGUCUGAUGUGAAAGCCCCCGGCUCAACCGGGGAGGGUCAUUGGAAACUGGGGAACUUGAGUGCAGAAGAGGAGAGUGGAAUUCCACGUGUAGCGGUGAAAUGCGUAGAGAUGUGGAGGAACACCAGUGGCGAAGGCG